rnacentral:rRNA from 1 species
UACAGAGGGUGCGAGCGUUAAUCGGAAUUACUGGGCGUAAAGCGCGCGUAGGCGGCUUUGCAAGUCGGGUGUGAAAUCCCCAGGCUUAACCUGGGAACUGCAUUCGAGACUGCAUUGCUAGAGUAUGGGAGAGGGAAGUGGAAUUUCCGGUGUAGCGGUGAAAUGCGUAGAUAUCGGGAGGAACACCAAUUGCGAAGGCAGCUCGCUGGGACGUCACUGACGCUGAGACGCGAAAGCGUGGGGAGCAAACAGG